UUGUAAUAAUGUAAUAGUUCUUUUCACUUGAGGAAGAAAAGAGAGUGACACAGCUACUAUACUAACUACAUUAUGCAAACAUAUACCUUUUUUAAUCUACCUAGCCAACACUUCUGGUUGACCGCUCAAAAGGCGAUACGCUAAUGACAUUAACCAUGGAUUUUGAUGAUAAGUACCUAACGCAGCGAACCACAUUUGCCAAUCGAGCCGUGGUUGAUGAGGAGC